rnacentral:rRNA from 1 species
GAUGAACGCUGGCGGCGUGCCUAAUACAUGCAAGUCGAGCGGACCAAAGAGAGCUUGCUCUCUGAGGUUAGCGGCGGACGGGUGAGUAACACGUGGGUAACCUGCCUGUAAGACGGGGAUAACUUCGGGAAACCGAAGCUAAUACCGGAUGAUAAAGAGAAACGCCUGUUUCUUUUUUGAAAGUCGGCCUUGUGCUGACGCUUACAGAUGGGCCCGCGGCGCAUUAGCUAGUUGGUGAGGUAACGGCUCACCAAGGCGACGAUGCGUAGCCGACCUGAGAGGGUGAUCGGCCACACUGGGACUGAGACACGGCCCAGACUCCUACGGGAGGCAGCAGUAGGGAAUCUUCGGCAAUGGACGAAAGUCUGACCGAGCAACGCCGCGUGAGCGAUGAAGGCCUUCGGGUCGUAAAGCUCUGUUGUCAGAGAAGAACAAGUACCGGAGUAACUGCCGGUACCUUGACGGUACCUGACCAGAAAGCCACGGCUAACUACGUGCCAGCCGCCGCCGUAAUAC